AUUUAAAAUUUUCAUUCAUUUGUAUUGUUAAAAAUUAACGUGUGACUGAUGGAAUAAUCAAAUAAUGGCAUGUGGCGUGUCACGUGUACCUCAUACUGAUGUACAAGCACCAACUUUUUACAGUAAAAAUGGAUGAAAUAUUUAACA
rnacentral:pre_miRNA from 1 species